AACUUCAAAAAUAGGUCUCAGUUCGGACUGUAGGCUGCAACUCGCCUACACGAAGUUGGAAUUGCUAGUAAUCGUGGAUCAGCAUGCCACGGUGAAUACGUUCCCGGGUCUUGUACACACCGCCCGUCACACCAUGGGAGCUGGUAACACCCGAAAUCAGUAGUCUAACCGCAAGGAGGACGCUGCCGAAGGUGGGAUUAGCGACUGGGGUGAAGUCGUAACAAGGUAAC
rnacentral:rRNA from 1 species